rnacentral:tRNA from 1 species
AGAAGUGUAGCUCAGUGGUAGAGCACUUACCUAGUAUGCAUGAGGCUUUGGGUUCAAUCUCUAGCACAGCAG